AACGAACGCUGGCGGCAGGCUUAACACAUGCAAGUCGAGCGCCCCGCAAGGGGAGCGGCAGACGGGUGAGUAACGCGUGGGAACGUACCCUUUGCUACGGAAUAGCUCCGGGAAACUGGAAUUAAUACCGUAUGUGCCCUACGGGGGAAAGAUUUAUCGGCAAAGGAUCGGCCCGCGUUGGAUUAGCUAGUUGGUGGGGUAAUGGCCUACCAAGGCGACGAUCCAUAGCUGGUCUGAGAGGAUGAUCAGCCACAUUGGGACUGAGACACGGCCCAAACUCCUCCGGGAGGCAGCAGUGGGGAAUAUUGGACAAUGGGCGCAAGCCUGAUCCAGCCAUGCCGCGUGAGUGAUGAAGGCCUUAGGGUUGUAAAGCUCUUUCAGUGGGGAAGAUAAUGACGGUACCCACAGAAGAAGCCCUGGCUAACUCCGUGCCAGCCGCCGCGGUAACAC
rnacentral:rRNA from 1 species